UCUCUUUGAAUCUGCGAACGGCUCCGCAAACCAGUUGUAAACUAUAGCAAGCAUGUCUCGGUGACGGCCGCAAGGUCGACAUCGGGAUAAUAAGGAUAACCCUGGUAAUUCUGAGGCUAAUACAAGAACGUAACCCCUGGUCGACCGGGCAACUGGAAGGCCGGGGAACGUGCGAUGCAGCGCAAAGAUUGCUGGGAAUAGGUGCACGUUCAGACCACCAUACCAAACGGUUGGCCCAGAGCUUCGGCGAAAGGCUUCCUGGGUGGCUCUUGCUGUGUGCUUCUGACCUAUCAACUAGAUGGCAGCGUAACGGACAUGCUAUGGUGACAACGGGUACAGAGGAUAAGGGUUCGAUCCUGGAGAGUGGGCCUGAGAGAUU
rnacentral:rRNA from 1 species